rnacentral:rRNA from 1 species
UACGUAGGGUGCAAGCGUUGUCCGGAAUUACUGGGCGUAAAGCGUGCGUAGGUGGUUUGCUAAGUCUGAUGUGAAAGCCCUGGGCUCAACCUGGGAAUUGCAUUGGAUACUGGCAGGCUAGAGUGCGGUAGAGGGUAGUGGAAUUCCCGGUGUAGCAGUGAAAUGCGUAGAGAUCGGGAGGAACAUCCGUGGCGAAGGCGACUACCUGGACCAGCACUGACACUGAGGCACGAAAGCGUGGGGAGCAAACAGG